GGGUAUAGUAAUUAAUAUAAUUUACUUAAAAAAUCUAAAUAUGUCAGGAUUGUAAAAUAGCAGCAUAAGAUUCAGAAGGUAUAUUAGUAUUUUACUAUAUCUA
rnacentral:SRP_RNA from 1 species